rnacentral:tRNA from 1 species
GCCUGGGUGGCUCAGUCAGUUGAGCGUCUGACUUCAGCUCAGGUCAUGAUCUCAUGGUUUGAGGUUUGAGUCCUGCGUCAGGCUCUGUGGGUUUGAGUCCUGCGUCAGGCU